rnacentral:rRNA from 1 species
AGAGUUCGAUUCUGGCUCAGGAUGAACGCUAGCUACAGGCUUAACACAUGCAAGUCGAGGGGAAACGACAUUGGAAGCUUGCUUCCGAUGGGCGUCGACCGGCGCACGGGUGAGUAACGCGUAUCCAACCUGCCCACCACUUGGGGAUAACCUUGCGAAAGUAAGACUAAUACCCAAUGAUAUCUCUAGAAGACAUCUGAAAGAGAUUAAAGAUUUAUCGGUGAUGGAUGGGGAUGCGUCUGAUUAGCUUGUUGGCGGGGUAACGGCCCACCAAGGCAACGAUCAGUAGGGGUUCUGAGAGGAAGGUCCCCCACAUUGGAACUGAGACACGGUCCAA